rnacentral:tRNA from 1 species
GGGGAUAUAGCUCAGUUGGUGAAGUGCUUGCCUUGCAUGCAUGAGGCACUGGGUUCAAACUCCAGUACCACCA